AAUGCUUGUGAAAUUGUACCUGCAGUAAAUAGAACUAUGACUGCAUACUGAAAUCAAACCUCCAGUAACAAUAUCAGGGCAGAGCUGGUACACAAAGUGGUCUUCAUAGAGACAGAGUCAGGCAGAUGGGAAACAUUACACCAGUUUUUCCUCAAGGGUAGCACUUAAGUAGUUCUCCACUUACAGAAAGGAAUCAUAGCAGGUUUGUAUCAAAGUAACUUCAGCCAAAGUUAUUUCUCUAAGAGGAGAUAAACAUCUCUUUUGGAAUUUCAUUGAUAACAUAUCAGAUAUGAUAAAUAUGGCACAGGAGUAAUGAGAGCCUUCAAAAGAUGCUCUUUGUCCCUGGGCCCUUCUCUGGGGAACACUGCAUCCAGAGGGGACACGCUGGAACAGCAGUUGCCUGUACAAAGCGCAGAAGCAGAUAUAUUCAAGUUACUGUAUUAAAUAAGUGUGCUGAUCACAGUAAUGCACCCUGCGCACUGCACUGAGCACCAGCAUCCCCAGCCCCACACCCAAAGGCUGCCAGGUUUCACUACUCAGCCCUUGUCCCUCCACUCCUCAGGAAGCAGCCAGAGUGGGGCAAGCAUCCGGCUCUCCAGGAGUGAAGUGAAGGGAAGCAAAUGUCUCUGUGCCCCAGCUGAUGCUUUGAGGAUGGGCUGUGAGCAAGCAGAACACGCUGUGUUGCACCAGGCCACAGCUUUUGGUGUGCACUCUCAUCCAGUCUGGCUGCUGGAAGCCACGCAGGCACAGCAGGAGUCCUGCAGGAGGGCUGAGCCACACACCAUUGCCUUUGGGCCCCCCAGCACCACAGCAGUGAGCUGCUGAGCCAUCAUGGUGCCUCUGGCCCACCAGGGCCUCAGGACAGCAGCCUCCUCCUGUCCUCACGUCAGCCCAAGGAGAUGGGACGACAUAUUGGCAAAAUAGAUGAGCUCAGCACAAAGGGCAAAGAAUAUGGUGAGCUUUCUGUAUUGACUUUGCUUUGUUCUCACUAAGAAAAAUGCCCUGAGAGUGAUGAGCCCUAAUGCAUUAGCCUUAGCAGGACAAAGUGUCAGCCAAAAACAUCCUAGGAAAAAGAAAGGGGAAGCAUCUAAAUGCUAAAACACUCCAGCUGACCCAUGUUCCAUUUCCCUUUUCUCAUUGCAAAUGUGUGGCUGUCCUCACGUCCAACCACAGCACAGAGCUGGGUUUAUGGCUGGGCACAGCAUGGAGCUGGGCUUAUAGUUGGGCACAGAGCUGGGCACAGCACAGAGCUGGGCAGCCUUUCCUGCAGCAAGAUGCUCUCCUGGCAGGACACAGUCCCACUGACUGUGGCAAGGCUGGGGUGAAGGGAACAGAGGGCAGCAGCAAGCAGCUCUGCUCUCAGCCUGGCUGGCACUGCUGUCCAUAAGGCCUCUGCUUGCUCUUUCAAAUGUACCUUCAUAAUCUUAAAUAAACUGACACUGAAGCUCUAGGUAAAACUGCUACAAAUGUUAGCCUUGCUUUUUUUUGUGCUGCUGUUUUAUUUAUUAUUGGCUUUCCAUUCCAAGUCUGCUGUUCUCUGGUUGGAGCCUGUACUGCGCAUGAAGAAAGGAAAAGUAACUGGAACACAACCCACAGCCACGUCCAUUAAUUCUUGUGGGGAAGGGCUUUUGGACUGAGAAGUAUAAGAACCUACUUGAACGUGUAUUUGAAUGUCUCCUCCAUUCUCCAGGCAGCAGUGAGCUACGUGAACUUUGUAAGAGGAGGUGACUUCUGGAGGUAGUAGCUGUGACUUAGCCCUAAAGCACAGCCACAGGGCCAGGCUUUCUCACCCCCAGCCUGGGCUCUCUCAAGAGGCUCCAGCCCAGCUGCUGGCACACAGACGUGUUCAAUUCAGUAGAGAAGAGAUGUGAAUCUUUAUCUGAAAGAUUACGUACAGCACAGGAAAACUUGCCAGCAAGAAAAUAAUGUGAAAACAGAGAUGAAGUUGACUGGAGUCCUGACUUACACAGUCUAAAGGGCAGCCAAACUGAGGGAAAUCAUGCAGGAAUAUGGGGCAAGCCAGUCAGACACCCCUAGAAAGCCAUGUCAUUUUUUUCCCCAGCCUCAGUGGGCUUUUGUUUAACCAUUAAAGUAGCUGGACAAAUUACCUAGAAAUGUUUGACCUUUGGAAAGGCCUCUGAGGCACAGCUGCCUGCUGUUCGCUGAACUGGUUCAUGUGGUUCCCACUCGGAAUGGUUUUUGAGGUUCACCCAAGCGUGGAAAGGGGUCUGGUUGUAUCGGUGAGGGAACUGAGAAGAUAAACUUAGGAAGGAGUGAGAAAAGCACCAGGGAAUUUUACAUGUUAUAUUUGCAUCAAAGGAAGGAAAGGGCACACAAAUGUACCAACCUGAAGUAGCUCGUUGGCUUUGAACUUCAAAAGAAAGUUACAGAGCAAAGAGCUGAGGUAGCAGUGGCCUUUGGGACAGUCUGUUUCACAGAAUCAGGUAGGAACUACAGAAUGCAAUGCAUUUAGCUUUUUUAGCCGCAGGAAUUUUUUUUUUUUUUAAUGGUAAAAAUAUAACAGAAAUGCUACAUUCCUGCAUUCCCCUUUCAACUUUAUUUUCCUUCUGCUCUUGCAGUCACUGUACGCAGGAGGUUGCUUGGUUGUACCAUUUCAGAGCUCGCUGCAGGGCCUGGCCGUGCCCCUUCUGCUGCCAUUUCAGCUCUUUCCACUGCAUGGCACCAGAACAAUUGGAAGGCAUAACCAGGUGCACACGACAGUACGACUUCAAUAGCUCAGUGUUGGCAGAGGCACAAAGUGCUAUUUCUCUGCCGCCCCUCUGUCCUGAGCUGCAGCAGCACUACCGGGGAAAGCAGGGACGGGCCCUUCUGCUGCAUGAGGUCAGGAGAGGCUGAAGUCUGCUUAGAACUGGGGAGCUGGAUUCCUACCUCUUCUUGCGCCGCGCAGCCCGUUGCGGGCUGUGCGUGCAGGCGGCCGCACCACCUGUAGGCGGCAGCGGAUGAUCGCGCUGCGGGCGGGCGCUGCUCCGUGAGCUGUCGGGGCUGUGCGUGCGGCUGUGCGUGGGGCUGCGCCCACACCGGUACGUGGGCUCAGCGAGAGCACUUCAGGUUUGGAUCCUGAGUGCUUGACUCGCGUUUCCUUACAAUUUUGGAUCUGCUGCUUUUCUGCACGGUUCAUGGAGUUGGAAUAAGAUUGUCCUAUGGGGCAACGCACAGCAGAUUAGGAACGUGCUCACAUGAGGUGAUCCAAAAGUGCUCUUUUAUGAGCGUUUGUUCUCCUUCCAGCUCAGGAGCAGCGCUGGGCGAGACUCACCUCCCUGCACGGGGAUGAAGAACAUCAUAAUAUGUUUGAAGCAAAGAACUGCAGAUAGGGAGAUUUUCAAAAAGCCAUUUGUUUACCUGGGUGAGGCAUUCAGACCAAAAGCGAAGGGUUAUUCAGGAAAGAACUCAAGCAUGUGGCUACAGCACUGGAGCAGACCCAUUCAGCCUCAGCUCGCAGCAGCACAGCUAGGGGUGCAGUGGGGUUCAUCAGGCCAGCACCUCCUCCUGGAGCUGAGCACAAGCCUGCACUCCUGGAUCAUGCCAUCCUGGCCAUUUAUUUGCCUGAAACUUAAACCUAUGCACUUCUCCUGGUGGUUGCAAAGUUUGCCACGCUCUGUCAAGCCUGCAGCGAUUACUUAUGGGCCACAGAUGGAUGCCUCAGCUCACUGGAGAGAUGUGUCCUGUAAUGCAUGCUGCUUGUUCACAGCUGAUCCCGAAAGAAGCUGACAUAAGGGCAUCAAGGAGCAUAAUUUUCCAGAAAUGCACUCCCUGCAUUUCUGACUGAAAGGGUAUGUGCAGAGUGGUUCACUGUGGCAGAGACUGAAGUGUUUGAGAGGUUUGUACUCCAGCCUGCUAUUAACUAUUGGUAGCACUGACUGCAGGGCUGCAGGCAGUGCAUGCUUUUAGCUUGAAUUUUCACUUCUUCAUUCUGGAAGGAAGAAUGGGAGAAAUGUUCUGGGUGCAAAUUCCGUGUGUGUCUCACGCCAUCUGCUAAUAGCAUGUGUGAGCUGCUCUACUGCCAGAAACCAGGAACAAAGAUAACAUCACUGCAGAGAGAACUGCCCUGCUCCCAAGUGAGGCUCGUACUGCAGGUAACCCGAUCACUCCGCACCCACUGGGGCCGAGCCUAGGGCAGUCCUGUUCACCUGACACUUGCAUAAACCUAGGACGGUGUCACUCAAACCAGUGUGGGACCUUAGAUGCAAAGCUGUUCCUGCUGAGCCCAGCAGAUAAAUAAAGUUCAUAAUCCAUUCAAUACGAUGGCCCUGUUGGAAUCCCAGAGAUGAAGUUAUUCGGGAGGAGGAAGUACAAAAGCCAAAGAAGCCUCCCCAUCUAAACCCUGUUCAGGCAACUUGCAGACGAGGCAGGGAGUACAGUCUGCAGUGGAACACUGAGGAAACUGUCACAGAAGCUACCGCUGGUCCUGAGCACAUUCACCAGAGUCUUGAGAGUCUGCUGUGCCACAGCUGGAUGCUCAUCCAUCUGAGAACCAGGCUUUUCUCUGCCUUUCCACAGCCUGCAAUGCAGUCAGGAAGCAAAGGAUACUAAGGGAUGUUAGCAGCUGCCAAACUGCCAGAGUUACCACAAGGCCUGACGACACGCUGCUGCUGCACCAGGCAGGAUGGGACGGCGGGCUUGUCUGCACUGCUGGAAAGCAAGCAGCCAGGAACGGGCACGCACAAGCAACCUGCAGAGCUCGGUGACCACAUUUCUUUGGUGUCUGCUGCCCAGCUGGAAAAGAGGUGUGCCUCUCAGAGUGUGCAGCCCUGAGGACCACAGAGGGAGGUGGGAGCAGCACAGUGGAAGGCAGGUAUACAAAACCCCACAGAGGAAUUGCAUUUUCCUACUCCUCAUUUGUUAUUCUACAUGGUAAUGUAUUAAUUCCUUCACUAAACUCCUUUGAUUAUUUUUAUUACCCUCCUGAUGUCACUCUGAAUAUUACUGUUAUCCUUAUAAAUACACAAAGCCCUUUCUGAAGAAUUUUAGCCAUCCAACCAACAUGCCCUGUGACCUUGAAGUCAGUACACUCAAUUCAUCAGUUGAAUUGAAAAUAACUGAGCUUUGGGUGAAAAAUUCACUACGUAUCCCUAAGGCUCAUACAUUUGGUAUGGUUUAAGGUGUAAGUAAGUGUGCAUAAAAUGAAUAUCAUUCUAAUGGGCUUUGUAUUUUCUUAGAUGGACCUUGACGAUGUUGGCAAUACGUCUCCAUGCAAAAAAACAAAGGUGUGUUUAUAAAGGCAUGUGCCAGGUUAAAGAGACAAAUGCUGUAUCAUACAGAGGUUUACAUUAAAGAGAGGAAUUACUUGAAGUUGAUGUGGGCAAAGCAUACCUCUGUGUUUAAUUCAUUAUGGGUAUAUGUGAAGGCCCACACUCCAUCUUGCAAACCUUGCAAGGGUUUGUCCAGGCGGAAAGAGCCCUGCAGAUGCCCCAGGCCUGGCCAGGAGCGCCCAGCUUUGCCAGCAACAACCUGGCAUGCUGCUGCUGGCAGGGCCUCAUCUGCCCGGUGAGCUGCACGGGCAGCCGCAGUGCAGUAGAUAUUGGAGAUACUGCUCUGAGGGAAGCACCUGCAAGGCCACCACUGCUCCAUAUGGGUCUGCUGGGGGCAGGAGUAGCAGCAGACAAGAGGGCAUGCAACAUGGGCCCCAGCUGCAGUGUUUGAAGGCCUGGAAACAGGAAUGCAUCCAUUCUCCUCCAGUUUAAUACAAAACUCCUGAUCCUCAAGAAUACCAGCUGUGAGUUGACGUUAAUGUCAGUGAAUAGCAAAUAGACCCCUGACACCAAUCUGGAUCACGUUUCAUUGCAGAAGGAUUGUCUUCAAAUAGACUGCCACUGGUUCUAUGUUUAGGACCUAUUUUCCAUGCUUGCUGAUAGUGUCCUGCUUCUUUCCAAAGCUACAUAACCUCAGUGUCCUGGCUAGCUUUGGGCCCAGCCCCUUAAGUCACACUCCCUUGAAUAAGCCUUAUCCAUGAAUACAGUGAGUCUCAUGUCAUGACAAAAAGCUUUAAUAAAACGAUGUUCUGGGAGCACAAUGAAAAGCCAAUCUAAUCAGUACCCAGCUAAGGCAGGGAUGAAUGCACGAUAGGCAGCUUUUUUACAUUUAUCACCAGGCCCUAACAGCCCCAAAAUAACCACACAUGUUGAGUAACCAACAAGAAGAAGCCAAUUUCUGAAGACCUACCUAGAUAACAUAGUUCUUCUUUUCAGUACAUAAAUCCUGAAUAGGACUCUGGAAUCAUGAAAAUAAUUAGGGUGAUGAUAACAAUAAAUUUAAAAUAUUUUCCAGACAAGAAGCUGAGGAAGUCUCUAGGGAGGUCUUUUGGUGGACUUCAUAAAUCUUAACACCGUUUUUAAUUAAGUAUUAGUUAUUUCAUAAUCCACAUUGUUUACUUAGCAACUGCUUUGGUAUUGAGUAUGCUAUCCUGGCAACAUACAUUUUUGCCAUAGGCCAGGAUCACAAAACACUAUUUGAAUCAUCUGUCAUCCCCAGUCUGCCUACGUUGUUAUUCUAUAGCUGCAGAUCGCAAGAUGAUGAACAAUGCUGGAUAUUCAUCAACCUUAUUUCAAACAUGGAGUAACUAUGAUGUAAUGAGAUUAAGAAAUCUGCUUGAUGCCAUUAAAUGAAUUAGCAGCCAUACAAAGAUUAGAAAACAUUUCCCUAUUCCUGGCUCUGCUCGUAAUCCACUGGACACGAACGCCCGAACCACUUCUUACUGCCAUUCGCAGUUUCAGCAAAGGGGUGCACUGAAGGAGGCAUUAAUUCACUCCUCAGGGCUUUUUAAGAGACUUUUAAGUGACCGAAAGAGGACUUCAGAUGCUUCAAAGAAGAGAGAACGAUGGCACUAUGGUGUCACUUCGGGGACUGAAAUUCAGUCUGCAAAAGCUCAUACAAAUUCAAAAGAAGGAGAAUCGUGUUUAUGCAGAGCUGAGGCUCUGUGCAUAUAGAAGUGUGGGUUUUGGUAGACGUUGUGAGCUUCAGGAGGCCGUUGAAGGGAAUAAAGCACAAAUAUACAGCCAUGAUAUUUUACGAUGUUUCCUUUCUUAGGCCUUUUUGGGGGUUAUCAAAUCUUUGGUGGAUAUUUGGCAUAUGGUUAAGUAAACUCAGGAGGAAAACCUAAAGGUAAGAAAUUGAAGCAACUGAUUAUGCAAAUUCUAAACUUUUCACAGUUAUCCACUGAGGACUGCUUAGGUCCUUUGUGUUACCAGAAGUCCUGCAGUCAGGACGUACACAGCCUCUUUAUGACUUCCACGUGAUAGUGCAGUUGUUCCAGAUGGAUAUCAAUUCAAUUAAGAGCAAAGAGUGAUUUGAGCUAUAUUCAGUGAAUUUGGAAGUACCGUUGACAUCAAAUUGCUUUGCCUCUGGUGGGUUUUUUUAAGCACCCACACAAGUCACUAUGUUUAAUUUUUAAAAAACCCUUAUAAAUACAACAUAUGAAGGAAAACACUGCUAGAUUAUUCUCUUCUUCUUGGUUUAGAACCUUUGACAGUAAGCUUACAAUUCUAACACAUCACUGACGUCCAUGCCUUCCAAGACAUUCUGGAACUUUCUCUUUGCAACACAGCAUGGAGGAGGCUGAGGAUAAGUGGUUGCAAGUUUACACAUUAUAAGAGAUGUGAUGUGAGCUUGUAAUUCAGGUUCUGUGUCAUCUGUGGGAAAAACCAUAGAAUGCUCAUCUCUACUCCUUGCACACACCCAGAUGUGGUAUCAGAUUCUGAUCUCUUUAAUCAUUAAAACUUUUCAUUAUUAUUUGAA